rnacentral:tRNA from 1 species
GGACGGCUAGCUCAGCUGGUUAGAGCGCUUCGUUGACAUCGAAGAGGUCACUGGUUCGAGUCCAGUGUCGUCCACAA